CAGCAGUCGCGGUUAUACUGAGAGGUAAAUUGAAAGAAAAUUGGUUAAAAAUAGUUAUAUUAUUGAUUGAUAAUUUCUUAAGAGCUUGUACUGAUAAAGGGUGAAAUCAAUUUUUUAGUAUACAAGGUAAUAAAAAUAUCAAUCUGAAUUGAAGCUAUCAAAAUAAAGGAAUGAACCAGGAUUAGAUACCCUGUUACACUUUAUAUAAAUUAUAAAAUUACCUGGGUAUUAAACAGCUAUUGUCUUGAAACUCAAAGGAUUUGGCGGUAACUUAGUCUAUUUAGAGGAACCUGUCCUGUAAUCGAUAGUCCACGAAAAAUCUUACUUUAUCUUGUAGAAAUCAGUUUGUAUACCGUCAUUAUUAGAUAACUUUAAUAAAAUUUAAAGUUGUUGGAAUAGUCUAGCUAAUAUAUUAGAUCAAGGUGCAGCUUAUGAUAAAGAAAGAGAUGGGUUACAUUGUAAUAAAUAUAAACGGAACAACAAAUGAAGGUUUGUUGUUGAAGGUGGAUUUAAAAGUAAUAAGAUUUUAAUAAGAUCUUCUGAGUUUAGCUCUAGGUUAUGUACACAUCGCCCGUCGCUCUCGUUAAUUAAAGCGAGAUAAGUCGUAACAAAGUAGGUGU
rnacentral:rRNA from 1 species